GUCUUUUUCUAUUUUUCUGGACUAUGCUGGACUAUUAAACUAUUUUGUUAUUUUGAUUUUUUAGAGUUAGCCAGAGAGAGAGGAAGUGUUAGCUUACUCAGGCAUGGAUGUACUAUGUGUGUCAAUGAUGUAUGUUGAGUGUACCAAGGAUGGAUUCCCAUGUAUUAAGUGUGGAUAUGACUGGACCGUCGAAAUAGGGAUGUGAUUAGGAGACAUAGGAUGCAAG